AGAGAAAAGGCCGUGUGAGAACACAGCAUGAAAGUGACCAUCUGUAAGACAUAAAGAGAGGCCUCAGGAGAAACCAAACCUACUGACACCUCCAUCGUGGACUUCCAGUCUCUAGAACUGAGCUCUGACUGCAGCAGGUCGAUGGCGACUGGCACUCCUAACCCUCCAUCCUUAACAGGGCGUUUUGCAAAAGGAGGGGAGAUUUGCUGUUUUCCAGCCACCUAAGAUCAAACCUUAAGGAGCCCAAGGUAUACCAGCAUGAAGAGGAUCACCUGAGUUACCUGGAGAUAUUGAGAUAUGCCCACCCCUACCACCAUGUGCCUGCUGUGUAAAGCUCAAUGGGCCAUUACCAGGACCAUCCCAGUCCACUGUCUUCCAGGAAGCUCUGUACAACCAUCAGAAUCAUUCUGACCUGGCCACUGGAGUGUGUUCUUCAUUCUCCUGCACCACCCUCGUGUAUACCACUUUGGUUCUGACAUUGCACUGUUUCAGAAUGCUGUCAAGGUGGGUCUCAUGAGGAAUGGUAUCCAGGUCAGGGACAAACAAGGAGACCAAGGACAGCCAUGAGCAAGUUUCAGGAAGUUCCAUCACACAGCUGAGAAAUGGGAUAUGAUGUGGCCACAGUCUAAGCUGGACAAAGCGGAGUCUGAAAAAGGAACUUAUCUAACUGUAUUCUAUGGGUAUUUGCUCAGUGGAAAUUCAGAAGGCUGGAACUAACAGCAUGGGCCUUUUCCUCAAGUACCUCUGCACUUAAGAAAGGAUGCUUUCUACUGCUCUCAGCCCAAGUAUUCCCUCUAGUAUCAUUCAAUGGUGAAUAGCUCACCAAAUUGGCAAUGGCUAAGUUUGAACAAAAUGAAUAUAUUAGCAAUGACUGAAACCAAUAAAGACCAACAACUCA
ensembl:lncRNA LINC01640 long intergenic non-protein coding RNA 1640